rnacentral:rRNA from 1 species
GACGGAGGAUGCAAGUGUUAUCCGGAAUCACUGGGCGUAAAGCGUCUGUAGGUGGUUUAAUAAGUCAACUGUUAAAUCUUGAGGCUCAACCUCAAAAAUCGCAGUCGAAACUAUUAGGCUAGAGUAUAGUAGGGGUAAAGGGAAUUUCCAGUGGAGCGGUGAAAUGCGUAGAGAUUGGAAAGAACACCGAUGGCGAAGGCACUUUACUGGGCUAUUACUAACACUCAGAGACGAGAGCUAGGGUAGCAAAUGGG